rnacentral:lncRNA from 1 species
GAGCAGGGGCACCUCUAGGAACCUUCUUCACAUCAUAUUUAACCGAUGAGAAAGCACAGAUCACAGUGAGAAUCAUUGUAGGAUAAACAUAAACAGCUUUCCCAAGCCGAUUCCUUCCUUAACAAGAUCCAAAAUUACCAAAUGAUAUCAAUAUUUUGAAAUAAAAUACCAAGCUAGGAUACAAAAUAGACUAUCUUGCAGUCCAAAUUGAUUCCUCUAAAAUGGAUUCUCUGGUGCUCAGGAGGAUAUAGCAAAUUCUCAAAGUUAUCCCUUAGGCAAUUCCUUGAUCCAUUUUCUUAAUUGAUUUUAUAAGAAUAAUGGAAACAUUUCAAACCUAUGGAAAAGGCUACAUAUUAAUUCAAUUGAGAUCCAUAAACCAUAAUCCUUUCCUUCUACAGAAGAGCCCUUAAUUCGCAAGAAGUGGAAACACAUGAACAAAACGAGCAUUGGACCAAAGGUAUCAAUAAUAGCAAUAAUUUUGUUAUAUUUGUAAAUGUUUUGGUUUGUUUACCCUAUACUUUCGUUCUUCCCAAUUGUAAAAUAGAAUGAAUUUCAACAAAAGCCUGUAAAUAUGUAAAGGUGUUCUCUAACAAACUACAGACAAAAAAAUUAGUUUCUCAUCUAAAAAAAGAAGAGGGUAAAGAAUUUUUAGUGUAAUUAUCUUCAAGAAUAAAGAACGAUUCUUUUCAUGGAUGUAGGCUUUGUUUGUCGAACUACAGUUAAAACUGUGUAGCAUCUCUUCUAACUCCCUUAUAUUCGUAUUGUUGUGUGUGUGCAUCAUCUACUCACCAAACCGUAAAGAAACAAAUUAGGGUUUGUAAUGGGAGUGAAGAAGAAGGAAGAAUAAAAGAAAGAGGUAUUUUCUUUUCAUUCCUUCCCCCUUUUCUUUAAUUCGUAACUUGCCGUGAACCACGUGUAUGGCUGACCACCAACAAAGGACGUGGCUUCAUCCCCUCUAAGUCUUGUGCUACAAGAUGUCUAUCACUUCCUUGGGCCUAAUUCAAAAUAGAAAAGCCCAACACCAUUAAUAUGUACUUUAUAAUUUAACAUUUUCCUUUUUUGUUAUCGGCUAUCAACAUCAAAAUUGAGAGCUACGUUGGUUUUGGGUUUGGGUUUGGGUCUGUGUAGAUUAAUAUAUAAUAUAUUCAUUCGAACUCUUACAAAAAUUGUUCCUAGAAGACAUUCUUCAAGAAAAUAUAUAUAUAUAUUAUUCUUUCUUAAAAACAAACUUAAAGUUUCCUGAAAAAACAAUCAACCCAUUUUAGAGUAACUAUGGCUUUUGUAUUAAAUUUCUCAAACAAGUAUAUAUAUGUAAGAAAAUAAUGAACGUUGAUGGUUGUUAGGGUCCGUAGAAGAGUGAUCGUACCUAGUUUAAGCACAUUCCCACCUAAUGAUUUUUUUUUCUGAAACUAUGCGUGUAGAUGCACCAAAGUAUCUUCACUACUUCUACUAUGUAUCUUCCUUAAAAUAUUACUUUCAUAUAUGUAUUUAAAAUUUUGUUCACAUUUUUAUAAUAAUGCGAAUUAUUAUAUUCAUUUAAACAAAAUAAAUUCCAAUAAUUGACACUAACUUCAAAUUUUGUUUUAAACUAACAAUAAUAUCAUAUAACCAAAUAUAAAUAAUAAAUUAAUACACCAUUCAUCUCAUGCACAUGUUUUAUAAUAAUAGUAAUUAUAUUAUAAAAUACCCAUAAGUACUCUCUAAACUUUUAGUGGAUGCAUAAUAGUAGAUAAAUGGUUUGAAGGAGCAACCUUAUUGGAAAGGUUGUUUGUUAAAUUUUUUAAAUACAAUACAAUAAACUAAAAUAUUUACGAGAUAACAAAAUUUUGGAUUUUAUAUAUGAUAGAAACGGAUAGACUUCUGCUACUGUUCAUCAAUAAUACUAAUAGAAAUAUAUUAGUGUUUAUGAAUGUGUAUUAUUGAUAGAAUUUGAAACUUUUUUUAUAUGUUGUAAAUAUUUUGUCAAAUUUGUUAUUUUUGACAAUUUUCUAUUAAAUAAUUGUGUAACAUCUUUCAGCAACAUGCUCGUAAGCUAUCAUCCUCACACGCCAUUUUAAAACCUCUAUAUAUGAUGAUUCUCGAUAAAUCUAAAUACCAACAAUAGUUUAUAAAUCCUAGAAAUUAUAAAAUUUAUGUAACCAAGCUAAGUUCGAUGACGGUGACUAAACGUUAAUUUUCAUUUUAGAAAAUCUUAGGUACUAACAGUAACAGUUAUAUAAUUAAAACAUAAAGCUAAGUUGCUUUCGUGUGUGUGUGUGUAUAUAUAUAUAAUAUGACAUUAGUAGAAUAAUAAUAAGUAUUAUUGGAAGUAAUAUUAUAAAAUUUCUUAGUAGCUAAAACAAAUCAUCAAUAUGAAAAUAGUUAAUAUAAGCAUACGUCCCAAAUAUUUUAUAAUACUAAUAAUUUUUAUUAUUUUAUUCUAUAAAAUACUCAUCAUUACCUCCUAUAUUUUGAAAUGUUUCAAUUUUAUUACGUAGACUUCAAUAUGAGAUAUAUAUUCUAAUAUGGUUGUAAAAUGUACAUAGUACGUAUGAAAGUCUAUUUAGGAUUUUAUUGGUUUACAAUAUAUACUCCUCUAGCUAACAUUUUUCAACAAUGUAGCAAAUACAAAAUAUAAAGGGAUAGUGAAAGCGUAAGGGAUAGCUUAGUUAGGAAAUGUAGAGAUAGCGGAGAAU